rnacentral:misc_RNA from 1 species
UCUCCGUAGGUGAACCUGCGGAGGGAUCAUUACACAAUACAAUAUGAAGGCCGUACGCGGCUGGAUUAUUUUAUUACCCUUGUCUUUUGCGCACUUGUUGUUUCCUGGGCGGGUUCGCCCGCCACCAGGACCACACCAUAAACCUUUUUUAUGCAGUUGCAAUCAGCGUCAGUACAACAAAUGUAAAUCAUUUACAACUUUCAACAACGGAUCUCUUGGUUCUG